rnacentral:rRNA from 1 species
CCUACGGGAGGCAGCAGUGAGGAAUAUUGGUCAAUGGACGAGAGUCUGAACCAGCCAAGUAGCGUGAAGGAUGACUGCCCUAUGGGUUGUAAACUUCUUUUAUAUGGGAAUAAAAUGUUCCACGUGUGUGAUUUUGUAUGUACCCUAUGAAUAAGGAUCGGCUAACUCCGUGCCAGCAGCCGCGGUAAUACGGAGGAUCCGAGCGUUAUCCGGAUUUAUUGGGUUUAAAGGGAGCGUAGGUGGAUUGUUAAGUCAGUUGUGAAAGUUUGCGGCUCAACCGUAAAAUUGCAGUUGAAACUGGCAGUCUGGAGUACAGUAGAGGUGGGCGGAAUUCGUGGUGUAGCGGUGAAAUGCUUAGAUAUCACGAAGAACUCCGAUUGCGAAGGCAGCUCACUGGACUGCAACUGACACUGAGGCUCGAAAGUGUGGGUAUCAAACAGGAUUAGAUACCCCAGUAGUC